AGUAUCACUUAAGUUUCUGCUAGUAACAGGAGGUGGAAACAGCAGAAGUACAGUUGGAAGGUGUUAUACUGUUGUAUGCUGCAUUGUAGUCCCAAAGAGAAGUAUUUCAUACCUGGGGCUGCUGUUGGAGAGAGCAGUCAGGAAUAUUGUCCAUGAAUUGUGAUGUUUGAGAAGUAGCAGAAGAAGUUUAACAGUAGCAUUAAAAAGCAAUGAAUGGUCAAUAUGAGUUUUUAGUUAGGCUUUAAUAGAUUUUGUAGUUGCUGUAAUACAUGUGGUCAUGCAGUAGGCUGGCAGGUCGAUGUAAAUUGUUCAGUGACUGCUUGUGAAACUUAAAGUAUGUCCUUUGUAGGGUUUCAGUGAAAUCUACUUCUCCUGCACUCCACCAGCCAAAGAAGUACAAAGAAAAAGACAUUUUGCUCUCCAGACAAUCCUCAGAUGACAGAUCAGCUCAGUCCUCAGUGAAGCCUGCAGACAGCAGUAGCUAUUCCAACCCCUGUGCUACUCCUUCUUCUCCAGUGUUGGGAAAGGGGCUAACAGCAGGCCUGUUGGCUAAAGGAGCGAAGAGAAGCUGAGAGGCAAGGAGAAGCUGUUAAAGAGCUCUCUCCAAGGCUGCUACCAAGGAGACUGAGAGAAGAGAAGAACUGAAGAAAGAUAAGGAGAGCACUGCAGACGGACAAAGUAUUUUUAGAAAGUUAACUAAAGUCACUGUUACUGUUCACCAGUGGUGUUAUGUUGAUUUUUUGUGGCCAAUAGUUGGGGUAGAAGAAGUAUAAACAAUUAGAAAGUUUAUAAAAAGUCAGCCAUGUUCGAUAAUAAAGAAUUGCCAUCUGA